AGAGGGGGGAUAGGACCUUUAUCGGGACUCCGGGAUCGGGUGUUUUUAAGCUCGGGAUUUCGGGAUUUACUCCUUCGGGAUCCGGGAAUUCUUUAUUUCAAAUUUCAGGAUCCGGGAUUUUUAUUUAUUUAAAUUCGGGACCUCGGGAUUUCGUGUUUUUAAGCCCGGGAUUUCGGGAUCAUGACCCCUCCUAUCCCCCCCCU
rnacentral:lncRNA from 1 species